CAGCCGCCGCGGUAAUACCGGCGGCCCGAGUGGCGGUCACUAUUAUUGGGCUUAAAGCGUCCGUAGCCGGGUUGGGAAGUCCUCCGGGAAAUCUGGCCGCUUAACGGUCCGAAUGCCGGAGGAUACUCCCAGCCUAGGGGGCGGGAGAGGCCGAGGGUAUUCCCGGAGUAGGGGUGAAAUCCUAUAAUCCCGGGAGGACCACCUGUGGCGAAGGCGCUCGGCUGGAACGCGUCCGACGGUGAGGGACGAAGGCCAGGGGAGCAAACCGGAUUAGAUACCCGGGUAGUCCUGGCUGUAAACGAUGCGGACUUUGUGUCGGACAAGCUAUGAGCUUGUCCGGUGCCGGAGGGAAACCGUUAAGUCCGCCGCCUGGGGAGUACGGCCGCAAGGCUGAAACUUAAAGGAAUUGGCGGG
rnacentral:rRNA from 1 species